rnacentral:rRNA from 1 species
UAGGGAAUUUUCGGCAAUGGGCGAAAGCCUGACCGAGCAACGCCGCGUGAAGGAAGAAGGCCUUCGGGUCGUAAACUUCUGUUAUAAAGGAAGAACGGCCAUGACAGGGAAUGGUCAUGGAGUGACGGUACUUUAUGAGGAAGCCACGGCUAACUACGUGCCAGCAGCCGCGGUAAUACGUAGGUGGCGAGCGUUAUCCGGAAUUAUUGGGCGUAAAGAGGGAGCAGGCGGCAGGAAGGGUCUGUGGUGAAAGACUGAAGCUCAACUUCAGUGAGCCAUGGAAACCGGCCAGCUAGAGUGAUGAAGAGGAUCGCGGAAUUCCAUGUGUAGCGGUGAAAUGCGUAGAUAUAUGGAGGAACACCAGUGGCGAAGGCGGCGAUCUGGUCAAUGACUGACGCUGAGUCCCGAAAGCGUGGGGAGCAAAUAGG